rnacentral:rRNA from 1 species
GUGCCAGCCGCCGCGGUAAUACGUAGGUGGCAAGCGUUGUCCGGAAUUACUGGGUGUAAAGGGCGUGUAGGCGGAUCUGCAAGUCGGAUGUGAAAUUCCCGGGCUCAACCCGGGCGCUGCAACCGAAACUGCGGAUCUUGAGUGUCGGAGAGGAAAGCGGAAUUCCCAGUGUAGCGGUAAAAUGCGUAGAGAUUGGGAGGAACACCGGUGGCGAAGGCGGCUUUCUGGACGACAACUGACGCUGAGGCGCGAAAGCGUGGGGAGCAAACAGGAUUAGAAACCCGCGUAGUCC